rnacentral:rRNA from 1 species
CCUACGGGGGGCAGCAGUGAGGAAUAUUGGUCAAUGGACGAGAGUCUGAACCAGCCAAGUAGCGUGAAGGAUGACUGCCCUAUGGGUUGUAAACUUCUUUUAUAAAGGAAUAAAACGAGGCACGUGUGCCUGUUUGCAUGUACUUUAAGAAUAAGAAUCGGCUAACUCCGUGCCAGCAGCCGCGGUAAGACGGAGGAUCCGAGCGUUAUCCGGAUUUAUUGGGUUUAAAGGGAGCGUAGAUGGGUUGUUAAGUCAGUUGUGAAAGUUUGCGGCUCAACCGUAAGAUUGCAAUUGAAACUGGCAGUCUUGAGUACAGGUGAGGUAGGCGGAAUUCGUGGUGUAGCGGUGAAAUGCUUAGAUAUCACGAAGAACCCCGAUUGCGAAGGCAGCUUACUAAACUGUGACUGACAUUGAUGCUCGAAAGUGUGGGUAUCAAACAGGAUUAGAUACCCCUGUAGUC